rnacentral:rRNA from 1 species
UUGUCCGGAAUUACUGGGUGUAAAGGGAGCGUAGGCGGGACGGUAAGUCAGGUGUGAAAUAUACGUGCUCAACAUGUAGACUGCACUUGAAACUGCUGUUCUUGAGUGAAGUAGAGGUAAGCGGAAUUCCUAGUGUAGCGGUGAAAUGCGUAGAUAUUAGGAGGAACAUCGGUGGCGAAGGCGGCUUACUGGGCUUUUACUGACGCUGAGGCUCGAAAGCGUGGGGAGCAAACAGGAUUAGAUACCCUGGUAGUCCACGCUGUAAACGAUGAUUACCAGGUGUGGGGGGACUGACCCCUUCCGUGCCGCAGUUAACACAAUAAGUAAUCCUCCUGGGGAGUACGACCGCAAGGUUGAAACUCAA